UUCCCCACAGAAACAAAAAAAACAAAAGCAGCCGUCCCACUUUCCCCAUUCCCACGCCGCCGCCGCCGUCGCAUCUCUCCCGCGGCGCCAUGCUCCGGCUGCGAAGCUCCAUCCUCGCCCGUCUCCUCUCCUCUUCUCCAGCCACCUCUCCCGCAUCCCCCUUCCGCCGCCUCCUCUCCGCCAUCGUCCCAGCCCCAAUCACCGGAUUUGCCGCGGAGGAGUACCUCGUCUCCACCUGCGGCCUCGCCCGACCCCAGGCCGUCAAGGCCUCCACCAAGCUCUCCCACCUCAAGUCCCCCGCCAACCUCGACGCCGUCCUCGCCUUCCUCGCCGGCCUCGGUCUCUCCGGCGCCGAUGUCGCCGCCCUCGUCGCCAAGGACCCGCUGUUCCUCUGCGCCAGCGUGGAGAGAACCCUGGCGCCCGUCGUCGCCGGGCUUUCCGGCCUCGGCCUAUCGCGUGCCGACAUCGCGCGCCUCGCCAAACUCACCGACCACAAAUUCCGCCAAAAAGGAAUUGUCUCCAAGCUGCACUACUACCUGCGCGUCUUCGGCUCCUCCGAGAGCCUCCUCCGGGCCAUGAAGUUCUGCACUCUCCUCUCACACAGCGUCGAGAGGGUGGUCAAGCCCAAUGUCGCGUACCUGCGAGAGUGCGGGUUAGGUGACUGCGAUAUUGCCAAGCUGUGCGUCUCAAGACCGAGGAUGUUCGCCACCAACCCGGAGCUUGUUCAGGCGAUGGUGACAUGCGCCGAAAACAUAGGUGUGCCCCGUGGCGCUGUCAUGUUCAGGCACGCGCUGCUUGCUGUUUCAUCUCUUGGGAAAGAGGAGAUCUUGCUGGGAUGUUCAGCCAGAGUGGAGUACUUGAGGAAUACGUUCAGGUGGACGGAUGCUGAGGUGGGCAUUGCUUUUUCUAAGUAUCCAUUGGUGCUGAAUAAGUCCAAGGAAUCACUGCAGCGCAGGUCUGAGUUCCUCAUCUCGGAGGUGGGCUUGGAACCGCCCUACAUUGCUCAACGGUCGGUAAUACUAGGUCUCAGCCUAGAGGGCCGGCUCAGGCCCCGGUACUACGCUGUAAAGUUCCUCAAGGAAAAUGGAUUGCUCAAGUGUGACCCAAGCUACUAUACUGUUUUCAAGGAGUCUGACAUGGUAUUCAAGAAGAAGUUCAUACACCCUCAUAAGGAAGCUGCACCGCACCUUGAAAAAGACUACGAUGCUGCUUGCAAAGGGGAAGUGCCCACUAAUUUCAGAUUCACAUAAGCCAAGAACGGGCUCUGAUGUAACUGUGUGCUGGUUGUCCGCUGCUGUAUGUCUGUUAGAUGCUGGGUUGGUGGUUGUUAACGAGUGAUGAAGCUGAUAAUUUGAUCCCUGGAUACUGAUAUGUAAUGUCACCACUCAGCCGAGAAGAAACCAUGGAUUGGUUAUGAACUUUUUCGUCCUCAUUCAUGUUUUAAACACAUGUAUUGGAACUAAGUAAGUGUGAGAUCAGGCCAUUCUGUAAUGCACUAAAAUUUCAGUUUUCAAGUUAGUUGCCUGUGCAUUGAGACAAUGAGCCAAGGUAAGGUCUCCAUUGUGGGUAAUGAAUUCCUAAUGUUCUACUGCUGUUUUUGCAAUUCAUAGUGGAUAAUUUGAGGAUAAAUCUGAUGCCCUUCCCAAAUCUAGAUUCAUAGAGAUCUGUUUUUGCUUUAACAAACUAAAGAUAGACUUAAUCAUUCAACUAUAGAAGGUCUGCAAGUGAGUUCUCCUUAAGUUGGAUCAGAGGUAACGAUUUGGAGCCAUCGGUCAUAUUGGAAAUACCUGCUGGGCAGCAGGACGAAAUGUACAGGGCUCACAUCUGGUUAUCUGCUAAAGAGAGAUGCACACUUAACUAAACAUCAAACUCUCAUAUGGAGGAGGUUUGGCAUCAUUUAAGUUUAAGUAAACUUAGGUGUGUCUGUCCAUUCUUAUGCUAGUAAUGUUAUUGAGACAAUGGAGAAGCACUUGCCGCUAGUAAACUUAGGUGUAUUAUCCUGCUCUGCACGAUGGCCAUAUUUUUUUUUUUGAAAUGGCCAUAAAUGAUGUGUUUAUUGUGGAUGGCAGCUUAAGAUUUUUGGUUCAUUAUUGUGUUUUGGUCCUGUGGGUAUUUCUUUGUGCCAAGCACCACCAGAAGGUUCACUAGUAGCUAGGUAGUGUUUCUUACUUCUAUGUCUGAGCUAGCUCUUCUUUAGUUUGGCUAAAACUGAAUGAUUAAUUUAUUGCUUUGGUUGGUGUGAUCGUGAAUAUAGUCCCCAAACAGUUGGUAUCAUGUACAUCCAUACUCUGAAUACAUGGUCUGAAUUUCUGCAGAGACUGCAGGUUCUGAAUUACUUGCCUGUGUGUUCAUCUGCACCAAACAGUUGGUAUUCUUGUUUGUAUGAAAAGCUGCACAUAAUAUGCUAGCUUUUGGGGGCACACUACUUCCAACUGGCAACAUAAUCUGUACCUGAAUUAGUUUCUGCCAUCUUGGGUGUUCAUCUGGAUGACAUUGAAGUUUAGCGACGGAUAGUAAAAUUUGAUACCUGUGUCUGUAUGAUUUUCGCAAGGGAAAAUUAAGGUUUUGAACUAUGUUUGAUCUGAAAAGACAAAUAAUUUCAGUACUUUAUUUAACUUCCAAAGUAACUGCCAAAGCAUGCUAGAAUUAUUUUAACUUCUAGUUGUCAAGCAGAUAAGUUGUAGUUAUCAUGAUCUGGUAUUUUCUUUGUAACAAAGUAAGCAUUGCAUGCUGUCUGUACUUAAACCUUUCAUAUGUCCACUUAUCUCAAGAUUAGGUGUUUGCUACAUGUCAUUUUGCCCUGUUAAUGCUCUGCUUAUUUUACUUGUCGAUGCAGGGUUAUGGAAAGGCUCCUGGGUGUAAGAAUUACUUUUGUUGGAGAUGGACAUUAAAGGUUUCAUCAAGAUUUUGUUGCCUUGUUGGGAAUGAUAAAUGGAUAUUUUGUGGUGCUCCAUGCAGUAAAUGUGUAUGUGAUGCAUCAUACACUUGAGUGUUUAUAUGUUUCAUCAAGUUUGUCUGACCUGAUAUUGGAGGUAUGCCUUGGCUUUAAUAAAAGUUGGGGCGGGGGGAAACCCCUUUUGUUUCAAAAAAAUUUAUAUUGGAGGUCAACUGUACAUUGACUUGUCCUGCCCAGUGAAAUGAUAAACCCGUUCCCCUUAUAAGUUGUAAUUGUUGUGAUUGCUACGAGAGGCUUCUUGUAUUUUGCUCUAUUUCAGAGUGUAGCCCUAUUGCUUCUUGGUAUCAUUACUAACAAGUGGCAUGUCACUUUUACCCAUGCUCUUUACAAACAGAAGUACCCUCAGAUUUUAGUUUAUACAUAGAGUCAGCUGUUGUUGUCGAGGCUGCUAGUAAACUGACUUGAGUAUGCAUUUUCCUUGUUGAUCGCCUGAUUCGUUUCGAGUGUGGUUGUAGUUUGUGGAUAUGAUACUCCUUUAGUUCCACCGGAAUGGUACAUAUAUCCUGGAUGGAGGUGAUGCAUAUGUAUCCUUUUUUUUUCCUUUUCCUUUUUGUACAUUUAAAUAGAAACACACCAAUCUAGUUUUUAGAUAGCUGCUCAAAGAUCAAACUUGACUCCGGCCAAGAAUCCGUCGUUCGUAGAUACUGAUGCCCAUUACUUCAGAUUUAAUUGCUGAAAUCAAUCGGUAUGAGGAAACACUGAUAAUACUCAUUACACCAAUGUAUAUGAAGAAACCAUUAAGCGCUAUUUUCUCAGCGAGUCCGUUUAUUGGAUAUUUUGUUCUUCAAAAUGUUAUUUUUGAGUUAUUAGAGCUAGGUUGAUUGUUGUGAUUGCUAGCAGAUGCCUCUUUUACCAUUUUCAAACAUCUCAUCAUUCCUCUGUGUGUAUUUAAUUCUGUAACUAAAUUGCUACUUUGCUAGGAUGCACAAGUUGACAUUUUUCAAUUGGCCAAGCAAACUGAGUUUGUUAGUCUACGCCUUUUUCUGAUGCUGUUAACUUCCCAUGAACCCGUGCAUUUUGUUUUGUAUCUAGAUGGCCCAUAACAGUGGACUAAAGGUUGUCGGUUUCUUGAAAAGUGGUUUAACAUGGUGGUGUGGAAGUGUCGUGGCUCGGCUGUGGGAGCUAGAGACCUUAUCAUGCAGAGAUCUUAUCAUACAAAUCUCAUGUAUGCUGGUGAGGAAGACGCAUAUCUUGCCCUGUUAGGACUUGUGAGUCUGGGAGAAGAUGCUAUUUUAUUUAUUUAUUUUACUGAGAGGCUGUAAAGGUUGGAACUGAAAGCAAUGGGAUAUCAGCCGUGUGCUUGCAGUAACACAAAGGAGAUGGUUCCAUGGUAUACUGGCGAAGAGCUCUGACUUGAUGAUCUGUUGUGUGUCUCUUCUCUGGUGCCUAGCUAGCUAGUGGGAAUUGUAGAAACAACAUACAGGUAGGGAAUGGGUUGAUUGAUGAAUGCAGUGACGUACCAGGAGAAGAUGUUCUAAAACUGGAUUUGGAUGCAUUGUGAUAUCCUCUUCUUCCGGGUGAUCGAUGAAGCAUGGAGCCUGGGGUUUUGCGAUUCUGAAGGCUCUGUUAGUUGAUGAUGCCCUGCCCUGAAGCAGUUUCAGUAACAAGUAUGAUGCACUCGCAGGAGUUUUAUCCUACACUGCUCAUUUUGAAUUCUGGAAGGUAUGUAUUAUCCUAUAUAUUGUAAUACACAAGGUGAGACCCGUGUGUGCUGUCGCCUGCCUGCUGGAUUCAUCAGCUCAACUGAGUGGAGUGAGGGAACCUCCUCAACGAAUAAUAAGUUGAAUAAAGUAGAUACAUCUGGUGGUCUAAUUAAUCCGUACAUUGAUGAGCUCCAUGCUGUUUUGCUUAUGGUGUCUUGGAUCUUCACUUGGAUGUAAUUGAACGAAUCAGAGAGCAUGUAAAAAAUCAAUUUAUAUGUUAUAUACAUUUGUACUCUGAAUCUGAAUGAUAGUUGAAAUUUAACUCUGAAACUCUGAAUCUUUCAGACUUCAUGGGUGAACUCUGUCCUUACACCCAAGUCAAGUGCAAAGCUAUAUCAGUAAGGGUUUAAACAUCUUACAGGGGCCAAGUUAAUUUGAAUCAGAGCUUAAAUGUAACAACAAUUGCUUUUUUCUUUCAAUGUCAUGUUUUAUAUUUGGCACCAGAAAUUUGAUGCUAGCUGGCUUACACUAGAUUUUUGAGUGUUGUAAAAAUGAUAUCUCCACAACUAUAUCAAGCUUGUGCUGCUGAUCUUUGCGUCAGAACUUAUUAAUGCCAGAUGUGAUACUGGCCGGCAUAAAUUACCAGCUAUCAAGAAUAUUACUGCCAGAGAACAUAUCAUUAAAUCUAUCUUCAUAUUUAACAUAUUUGUGUACAUUAUGGUUUGCUUCCAUGGUUCGUAGGCUCCUGAACUCCUGUUUUUAUUUAGGCGUGAAUGUGCUUCACUACUCGAUACUUUCUUAUGCUAUUUGUUAGCUUAUGAGAUGACAACAAGAUUAUAUCGUACUGCUUGUUCUCUGCAAAAUCUAGUGUCCUCAUAUAUGAUUUGGAUUGAUCCUGGUGGUCCAUUGGUUCAAUAGGUACUCAUGCAGUCGAGCUAUUUAUAAUUCAGGAGUCCUACUUCAAGAGAUAUGUUAUAGGCAUAUUUAAACUGGAAUUAUUAACUACAUUUUCCAUUGACAGGUCACCAUGGUUGUCUUGCAAGAUCAUCCUGCCUUGCCAUAUUAGCAUUAUCUUAAUCUGUGGGAUUUUUCGAAUCUGUGGGCAUGCACCUGCAAUUCCUCAUGAGUCAUGACAAGCAAUCACCCUUCUGACUAGGCACUGGUUUUCUUGUGUAUAAUUCCAGGUGUUUAUUGAAGGUUUUGUCUCUUUUCUUUUUUUGCUAUAGUUGGCUUGGCUGUAUACCUUUUGAAAUCGGGGGCAUGUGGUGCAGUAUGAGGUAUGUUCUUAAUACUCCAAUUCUAUUUGAAGUGAUUCCCACUUUUUUUUUUAAUUUCUCAAAUCACAGAUAAGAAUAUUUUUUGAAAUUACAUAUGCCCUCUAAUUACUGAGGGAUGACAAACAUUUAAUUUGGUUUAAUCUGCAUAUUCUAUCAACAUGGAAAUAACAUUACAUGUUGGUCUCACAGCGCAUAUGGUGCUGUCCAGGCAUAGUUGAAAUCACAGUCAACCGUCGGUUAUACACUUGCUGUUGUUUGAGCUGGUGGCUAGUUUUCUCCGAAGACAAGGUGCAUCAUGUGCUCCAUUUUUGCAGAAACAGUGGAGAGCUGACAUAUCAUGUUAGCCAAGAGUUGUUGCACUUACCACCGGGGAGUCAUGAGUCCUGAUAUGUGGCAUGUCUAUGGACUUGUUCAUCCCUGUAUUGUAUUGACAUUUGUAUUGAAACUAAGAGAGUGUGAGAUUAGGUCAUACUGCAAAUGCAUUGAAAUAUCAGUGAGUAAUAUAUUUCCAUGAAGGAAGGUCCUCAAUUUGGCCGUGGCGAUGAUAUGAGAUAGUCUAAUUUGAAGGGAACUUGUAAUUUCCCUUCGGAAGACAAUUCUGGACCCAUUUUUUGGGGGAGCAAUGUUGGACUUGUUGACGUCCAUGCAUCUUUGUUUGAAGAGAUUAGUGUCCGGUAAAGACUGAGCCUCCUCUGUUUGCACCAAUCAAAGGUUUGAUGUGUUAUUUCUAUGCCUAGCAAGGUAGCAGAUAUGAAGGAAGCUAUAUCAAAUGGUUAUAUCGUGAUUUAAGCUCACCAAAUGGUUAGAAUAUUAACUUUCGGUUUAGCGUGGCAUCCAAUCAGCCUAGGGCCCUAGACUGAUUGAAUGAACACAUUCAUAGGCAUUAACAGAGCUAGGCAGAGCUAGGCAUUAGCAGAUGCAAGCUGGCUUUUCGAGAUGGCAUCCUAUCUUCAGUGCUGUAAAAAUAUAUCUUCACAGCUAUAUUGAACUUGUGCUGUGGUCCUUUGUUCA